ensembl:lincRNA
CACUUAAUUAGUACACAGAAGGUCACACUGUUGAUCAGCUUGACUCUUGUAAGGGAGUACAAGGUGCUGAUUCCCUUCCUGGUUUUUGUCUCUUAUCAAAAUGUCAAGAGUGUCGCUGCAGCAAAAUCGGGAAAUCAGAGCCUCCAGCAGAUGGAUUAUCUUGACCAAGGUUCCUUUGUGCCCCAAUUGUGCAUCUCACCCAGCCCACCAUCCCAAUCGAUCAGGCACAGUAGACUCCAUCCAGCCAGGUGGAAGCGUAUGGCCCCAGGUCUCCAGGAACAAGACUUACCUGUUCUCUUCCCCUGAAUCUCUGUUCUCUUCCCUGCCAACUCCCCUCUGUGUCCAAACUGGGAUCACUGUCUAAGAAAUCAGCAGCCAAGUCCUUCCUGGAAUAAAAGUACUUAAGGGAAA